GAUGAACGCUAGCGGCAGGCCUAACACAUGCAAGUCGAGGGGCAUCGGGAUUGAAGCUUGCUUCAAUUGCCGGCGACCGGCGCACGGGUGCGUAACGCGUAUGCAACCUACCCAUAACAGGGGGAUAACACUGAGAAAUUGGUACUAAUAUCCCAUAACAUCAUGAGGGGCAUCCCUUUUGGUUGAAAACUCCGGUGGUUAUGGAUGGGCAUGCGUUGUAUUAGCUGGUUGGUGAGGUAACGGCUCACCAAGGCGACGAUACAUAGGGGGACUGAGAGGUUAACCCCCCACAUUGGUACUGAGACACGGACCAAACUCCUACGGGAGGCAGCAGUGAGGAAUAUUGGUCAAUGGACGCAAGUCUGAACCAGCCAUGCCGCGUGCAGGAUGACGGCUCUAUGAGUUGUAAACUGCUUUUGUACGAGGGUAAACCCGGAUACGUGUAUCCGGCUGAAAGUAUCGUACGAAUAAGGAUCGGCUAACUCCGUG
rnacentral:rRNA from 2 species